CUGCAGUUUCUCCUAGAUUUACAACUGUCAGCUUAUGAUCUUCAUUAAAAGGAAUGUAGCAGUAUUCUUAAAUAUGUUACCAUGUCAUCAGUAUGUGGAUGAAUGUGAUGUUCUACAGAUGUCCAGAUCAUUCAGGUUCCUUCAAACUACAUCAUGACUGAAAGUCGAAGAGUGAACAUUGACCUGUGGGAAGAUCCCAACUAAAUAUAUGCUAUUCUCCGUC